CCACAAUUAAAGGGGGAAAAUGGAAGAAACCUCAGGGAGAGCAACUGAGGAGGGAUCCCUCUCCCAGGACGGACAGACGUGCAAUAGAUGUCGUGUCUACAGGAUAAACAACAUAGUACAAAUACAACAUUUGACAGAAAUUAUGUUGUGUUGAAAAAAGAGAAAGUUUGGAUGAAUCCAGGAAAAUGUCAAAAAGGCUUCCCGGUGUCCAGCAGGACCAGGUCAGCAGGCGCAGCCACGAUUCAUGAUCCUGACGUAAACUUUAUCAGUGGCAACCUGCCACAUGAGAGACAGACACUCCGGGGAUGAUUCUGUGUUAGUAACAUACAUUUACAUAAAUGCAUACAGAUAGAGAGGGAGAAGAAGAGAGAGGAAGAGAAGGAGGAGAGCAGGGAGGUGUCCCCCGGCAUCACGUCUCAUCGUUCUUUAUUUUUUUAUGUUUGGCCUACUGAAUACUAAACUAAACACUUUGGUUUUCAGAUGUGGUUGGACAACACUUUGUACAAUCAUGUUCGUUUCAAGCAUACCUGCCUCGAUGCUUUUUCUCUCUGGUUGUUUUUAGCUCUGAAGAAAGUCGAGCGGGAAAGAGCAUUGCAGAAGCAAACCGAGUGACAACGUGAAAGAUGUGGGAUCAAACCCCAGCUGGGACGAUCCACCCAUUCCCGACACAGUUCAGAUCUGUCUUCAUGGGACAAACAACAGCAGGCGUGAAACAGCAAGCGCCGCAGGAGGGAAGAGGCAUGGCUGGCGAACCUCGCCGGCGUGACAUCUCCGCCACAACUACAGCCGUCAGCCGGUCCACAGGGAUCACGAACGGAGGACCGCCCUUGCCGACACCACUUGGUUCUGGAUCGGGCGCAUGCUUUCAAAAUAGCCGCCGUGCAGUCCAUAGCUAGCUAGCAGUGGGCUUCUGAUUGGUUCAGAGUGGUUCCAUGUAGUCAACAAAUAAGAGGGCUGUUAUUGCCACAAAAAACUGCAUUUAGCGUGACGUGAUGAAUGAGAGCAAGGUUCUUUAAAUCAGCAGAUAGUAUAGUUUGUUGAAUUGCUGUUGUGCUGUUCGUCCUCUUCAUUAAGCUUUCUUGUCGAAAAUCUUAAUGCACAAGAUGACAUCAUUAUCGAGUGUUCUUCUUUUUGGUCCUGAGCUCCUCCUUCUCCAGAGUACACAAAGGAGAAAGGCUGAGAAAGAUGAAGGAGGUAGGAAUGAAGAGAUAAGAGGAGGAAGAAACUGUCCAGGAGAAGAAAAAAAACACUAAAAAAGGUACUCCAACUUCUGAAGUAGAUCGUCUGCAGUUAUUAGCAGGAUAGUCAAACAUGCAAAUACUGUGGUAAUAGCUAAAGUCCUUGUGUUGAGUAAAAGUAUGUUGUUCAUUUCAGGUGAAACCAGAAUCCAUUCACUUUUAAACUUGACCGCAAUUCACAGUAUGUCGAUGUAAUCCACUGGUUAUUGUUCUUUGUAGCCAAAAAAUGCAAUCCUUUCAUUCACAGGUAGAACCUCCUUAAAACCAUGCAAAAAGAGCGAACAACAACUAAAGCAUGAGGUGGAAAGAGUAAACUCUUUCCAGAUGAUAUCCUCUUUGGUCGGAAGCACAAUAAGUAAAGUUUCCAAGUGUUAAAGAGUUUUUCUUUCAGCCUCCAUAUCUGGUCUGAAAGACGACCUCCCUCGUCUGACUGCACAGCAAAUCAAAACCUCCCCUCCUCCAACCCAAAAACACACACACACACACACACACACACACACACACACACACACACACACACACACACACACACACACAGGAGAGAGAGAGAGAGCGAGAGAGAGGGAGAGAGGGAAGGACUGCAUGAGCAGCUGAACAGAGAGAGUAAUCUGUUAGAUGUCGAGAAGCGCGAGGAAAGUUUGGAAAAACA
ensembl:lncRNA